rnacentral:rRNA from 1 species
UACAGAGGGUGCAAACGUUGUUCGGAAUUACUGGGCGUAAAGCGCGUGUAGGCGGUCUAAAAAGUCAGGUGUGAAAGCCCCGGGCUCAACCCGGGAAGUGCACUUGAAACUGCUAGGCUAGAGUACUGGAGAGGUUGGUGGAAUUCUCGGUGUAGAGGUGAAAUUCGUAGAUAUCGAGAGGAACACCGGUGGCGAAGGCGGCCAACUGGACAGAUACUGACGCUGAGACUCGAAAGCGUGGGGAGCAAACAGG